GUGCUCGCUUCGGCAGCACAUAUACUAAAAUUGGAACCAUACAGAGAAGAUCAUCAUGGCCCCUGCACAAGGAUGACACUUAAAUUCAUGAAGGGUACCAUAUUUUU
ensembl:snRNA U6 U6 spliceosomal RNA